GUCUACAGCCAUACCACCCUGAACGCACCCAAUCUCAUCUGAUCUUGGAAGCUAAGCAGGGUCAGGUCUAGUUAGUACUUGGAUGGGAAACAAUCUCAGUGGUAGUUGUUGGAGUAA
rnacentral:rRNA from 1 species